GUGGGGAAUAUUGGGCAAUGGGCGAAAGCCUGACCCAGCAACGCCGCGUGAGGGAAGAAGGUUUUCGGAUUGUAAACCUCUGUCCUAUGGGAAGAAGGAAGUGACGGUACCAUAGGAGGAAGCCCCGGCUAACUACGUGCCAGCAGCCGCGGUAAUACGUAGGGGGCGAGCGUUGUCCGGAAUGACUGGGCGUAAAGGGCGCGUAGGCGGCCGUAAAAGUUUCACGUGAAAGUCCCGCUUUCAAGGUGGGAAUUGCGUGGGAAACUGUAUGGCUUGAGUGCGGAAGAGGUAAGUGGAAUUCCCAGUGUAGCGGUGAAAUGCGUAGAGAUUGGGAGGAACACCAGUGGCGAAGGCGACUUACUGGGUCGUAACUGACGCUGAUGCGCGAAAGCGUGGGGAGCGAACAGGAUUAGAAACCCUAGUAGUCC
rnacentral:rRNA from 1 species